GGUGAAAGCUUACAUCUCUUCGGAGCAUUUUACGAGGUGCUGCAUGGUUGUCGUCAGCUCGUGCCGUGAGGUGUCGGGUUAAGUCCCAUAACGAGCGCAACCCCUACCUUUAGUUGCCAUCAGGUUAAGCUGGGGACUCUAAAGGAACUGCCUACGCAAGUAGUGAGGAAGGCGGGGAUGACGUCAAAUCAGCACGGCCCUUACGUCCAGGGCUACACACGUGCUACAAUGGCCGAUACAGAGGGCAGCUACCUGGUGACAGGAUGCAAAUCUCCAAAGUCGGUCUCAGUUCGGAUCGGAGUCUGCAACCCGACUCCGUGAAGUUGGAUUCGCUAGUAAUCGCGCAUCAGCCAUGGCGCGGUGAAUACGUUCCCGGGCCUU
rnacentral:rRNA from 1 species